CCUACGGGAGGCAGCAGUGGGGAAUAUUGCACAAUGGGGGGAACCCUGAUGCAGCGACGCCGCGUGAAGGAAGAAGGCCUUCGGGUUGUAAACUUCUUUGACCAGGGACGAAUAAAUGACGGUACCUGGAGAACAAGCCACGGCUAACUACGUGCCAGCAGCCGCGGUAAUACGUAGGUGGCGAGCGUUGUCCGGAAUUACUGGGUGUAAAGGGCGUGUAGGCGGGUUCUUAAGUCAGAUGUGAAAUCCCGGGGCUCAACUCCGGAGCUGCAUCUGAAACUGGGGAUCUUGAGUGCUGGAGGGGAAAGUGGAAUUCCUAGUGUAGCGGUGAAAUGCGUAGAGAUUAGGAGGAACACCAGUGGCGAAGGCGGCUUUCUGGACAGCAACUGACGCUGAGGCGCGAAAGCGUGGGGAGCAAACAGGAUUAGAUACCCUUGUAGUC
rnacentral:rRNA from 1 species